rnacentral:rRNA from 1 species
AUUGAACGCUGGCGGCAUGCUUUACACAUGCAAGUCGAACGCGAAAGGGGGCAACCCUGAGUAGAGUGGCGCACGGGUGAGUAAUGCAUCGGAACGUGUCCUGUAGCGGGGGAUAACCUAGCGAAAGCUAGGCUAAUACCGCAUACGCCCUGAGGGGGAAAGUGGGGGAUCGCAAGACCUCACUCUAGAGGAGCGGCCGAUGCCGGAUUAGGUAGGUAGUGGGGUAAAGGCCUACCAAGCCUUCGACCUUUAGCUGGUCUGAGAGGACGACCAGCCACACUGGGACUGAGACACGGCCCAGACUCCUACGGGAGGCAGCAGUGGGGAAUUUUGGACAAUGGGGGCAACCCUGAUCCAGCCAUGCCGCGUGCGGGAAGAAGGCCUUCGGGUUGUAAACCGCUUUUGUCAGGGAAGAAACGCUUUGGGUUAAUACCCCGAGGUAAUGACGGUACCUGAAGAAUAAGCACCGGCUAACUACGUGCCAGCAGCCGCUGUAA